rnacentral:rRNA from 1 species
CCUACGGGGAGCAGCAGUGGGGGAUAUUGCACAAUGGGGGAAACCCUGAUGCAGCGACGCCGCGUGGGUGAAGAAGCGCCUCGGCGCGUAAAGCCCUGUCAGCAGGGAAGAAAAUGACGGUACCUGAAGAAGAAGCCCCGGCUAACUACGUGCCAGCAGCCGCGGUAAUACGUAGGGGGCAAGCGUUAUCCGGAUUUACUGGGUGUAAAGGGGGCGCAGACGGCGAUGCAAGCCAGGAGUGAAAGCCCGGGGCCCAACCCCGGGACUGCGCUUGGAACUGCGUGGCUAGAGUGCAGGAGGGGCAGGCGGAAUUCCUGGUGUAGCGGUGAAAUGCGUAGAUAUCAGGAGGAACACCGGUGGCGAAGGCAGCAUACCGGCGCCCAACUGACGCUGAAGCACGAAAGCGUGGGUAUCGAACAGGAUUAGAUACCCGGGUAGUC